ensembl:lncRNA
CCUUGCUCAGUGGGUUAAGGAUCCGACGUUGCUGUGAGCUGUGGUGUAGGUUGCAGAUGCGGCUCAGAUCCUGAAUUGCUGUGGCUCUGGCGUAGGCCAGUGGUUACAGCUCCGAUUGGACCCCUAGCCUGGGAACCUCCAUAUGCCGUGGGAGCGGCCCUAGAAAUGGCAAAAAGACAAAAAAAAAAAAAAAAUUAAAAUUAAAAUCAAAAAAGGAAAACCGGCCUAAGUGGCUAACCAAGAGACUAAAGAAGUUCUACUGCAGAAAACGGAGAAACCAAAAAACGAGAAGAGCCCAGCCUCUGAUGAAGCAGGAGAGAAAGAAGUCGCCUCUGAUUAAUACCGCAUGCCAGAGGAAGGGACAGAAGGUCCACUGGAUGCAGAGAGUCUGAGAGAAGAUCUUCCCAGUAGUGAACCUGCCCUCAUCUCUGGGGAACUGCAAGGAAGGUUCCUCAGUGCCAAAGAAAGAAAGAGAAUCUGUGAUCUCAAGCUAUCACCACUCCACCUGGAUACCCACCCCUGGGUAGGACUGAUAUCACAACAAUCUCUAUCUGCAAGAAGUGCAUUAACCCCAAGGCAGCCUGAACACAGCUGAGGAUGGAUCAUCACUGCCCCUGGCUAAGAAACUGUGUGGGCCACUAUAACCAUCCGUACUUCUUCUCUUUCUGCUUUUUGAUGACUCUAUAGGCUGUGUCUAUUGCAGCUACGGAAGUUGGGACUUUUUCCAGGGAGCUUAUGCUACCAUCAAGACUUAUCACCAUACCCCACCGCCCAGUUUCUCCUUUCGAGAAAAAGUGACUCACAGAGUCUUGUCUACCUCUGGUUCCUGUGCAGUUCCGUGGCACUUGCCCUGGGUGCCCUAACUGUAAGGCAUGCUAUUCUCAUUAGUCGAAGUGAGACUAGUAUUGAAAGGCACAUCAAGAAAAAGGAGCGUUGUCGGCUCCAGGCCAAGGGCAGAGUUUGUAGGAAUCAUUACAACUAUGGCUGCUUGGACAAUUGGAAGGUAUUCCUGGGUGUGGACACAGGAAGACACUGACCUACUUGGGUGCUGUUACCUUCCAGUCACCUGCCCCACAGGAGUGGAAUGAGCUGGGAUCCCCCUCCCUGGGUGACUGCUCACUCAGCCUCUGUGACAGCAGCGUGAACUGGAGCAUGCCAGCCACAACUUGAGUAUCACCCUGCUUCCUGCAUUGUUUCAAGGGCCUCCAAGGAUAGCUUCUUGGAAUCCUUGAGCAAAAAGAGCCAGUGGGCCUGCUUUGGGGUACUAUGCAGGGGCAGCUCAUGGACCAGUUUUCUGAUCACUGCAGAAGCAAGGCACGCUGUGGAAAAAUGCUAGGACUGAUGUCCCUUUACUCAGGCAAACAGAAGUUCCAGCCCCAGACUAGAAAUUAGGCAGCUAGCAACCUUGCCAGGUACUGACCCCGACCUGCUCCAGGUUACAGCACUGGGGUUGGUCACCACCUCUUCCACUUGCCAUAUGAGAACCCACCUGAAUGGUAGAGCUGAGUUCCUGGCUUCUUAACAGGGCAAAGAUACAGGCCUAUGUCUGGGGUCACUGCCACUUCUCACAUGCUGCCAAAGGAAACAAAAAUAAAGAUAUUUGAUUUUUUCGUUUGUUUGUUUGU